rnacentral:misc_RNA from 1 species
AAGUCGUAACAAGGUUUCCGUAGGUGAACCUGCGGAAGGAUCAUUAUCACGUAUCCAAACGUUAAAACCCCGCAAUCUCUGAUAAAUCAUAGCCCGGAAAGUUGUAGUGAUUCAGAGACCUCUGGCUACGUGCGAACAUUGGAACAGUUACAAUCGAGCGGUAGUUCUAUAGGCAAUGUUUCCCCAAGCAGUCAGUGUCGGAAAGUGUCAUUGAUUGUGCAAGGAUAGCGCUUCUACGAUUCCUGUAGACCGUACACUCGGGCAGGAGCUUUGCCAAAGGGUCCCCAUGCCCCCUAAUAACCCCACAGUUUAAUGUGAAGCUCAAUGUAAUACAUUGGGUAAAAAAACCGAACAACUGUUAACAAUGGAUAUCUUGGUUCUC